rnacentral:rRNA from 1 species
UAGGGAAUAUUGCGCAAUGGGGGAAACCCUGACGCAGCGAUACCGUGUGUGGGAGGAAGGUCUUCGGAUUGUAAACCACUGUCAAGAGGGACAAAUGGCGCUGUGAAGAACAGCGAUUGAUGGUACCUCUAGAGGAAGCACCGGCUAACUCCGUGCCAGCAGCCGCGGUAAUACGGAGGGUGCAAGCGUUGUUCGGAAUUAUUGGGCGUAAAGCGCGCGCAGGCUGGAUUGCAAGUAAGGUGUGAAAUCUCGGGGCUCAACUCCGAAACUGCGCCUUAAACUACAAUUCUAGAAUACUGGAGGGGGAUGGGGAAUUUCUCAUGUAGGGGUAAAAUCCGUAGAGAUGAGAAGGAACACCUGAGGCGAAGGCGCCAUCCUGGACAGUUAUUGACGCUGAGGCGCGAAAGCGUGGGGAGCAAACAGG